rnacentral:rRNA from 1 species
UACGGGGGGGGCAAGCGUUGUUCGGAAUUACUGGGCGUAAAGGGCGUGUAGGCGGCCAACUAAGUCCGACGUGAAAUCCCCAGGCUUAACCUGGGAACUGCGUCGGAUACUGGAUGGCUUGAAUUCGGGAGAGGGAUGCAGAAUUCCAGGUGUAGCGGUGAAAUGCGUAGAUAUCUGGAGGAAUACCGGUGGCGAAGGCGGCAUCCUGGACCGACAUUGACGCUGAAGCGCGAAAGCCAGGGGAGCAAACGGG